AUGCUUUACAGCUUAGAACCGGGGCUCCAAAAGCGUUUUGAGAGACACGGAGCAUAUGAGAUGUUCGAAGAGCUGAAAAUGGUUUUCCAAGCUCAUGCCCGGGUCGAGAGAUAUGAAGUCUCCGACAAGUUCUUCAGCUGUAAGAUGGAGGAAAAUAGUUCUGUCAGUGAGCACAUACUCAAAAUGUCUGGGUUGCAUAACCGCUUGACUCAGCUGGGAGUUAAUCUCCCGGAUGACGCGGUCAUUGACAGAAUCCUUCAGUCGCUUCCACCGAGCUACAAGAGCUUUGUGAUGAACUUCAAUAUGCAGGGGAUGGAAAAGACCAUCCAUGAGGUAUAUUCAAUGCUGAAAUCAGCAGAGGUGAAAAUCAAAAAGGAACAUCAAGUGUUGAUGGUGAAUAAAACCACUAAGUUCAAGAAAGGCAAGGUUCAUGCCAAUGUCAACAGAUGGAUGAGUUCAACAGAUGUAUUAUUCGGGAGGGAGAGGACUAUGUAA
rnacentral:rRNA from 1 species